rnacentral:rRNA from 1 species
AUGAACGCUAGCGGCAGGCCUAACACAUGCAAGUCGAGGGGCAUCACGAGGUAGCAAUACUUUGGUGGCGACCGGCGCACGGGUGCGUAACGCGUAUGUAACCUACCUAUAACAGGGGCAUAACACUGAGAAAUUGGUACUAAUUCCCCAUAAUAUUCGGAGAGGCAUCUCUCCGGGUUGAAAACUCCGGUGGUUAUAGAUGGACAUGCGUUGUAUUAGCUAGUUGGUGAGGUAACGGCUCACCAAGGCAACGAUACAUAGGGGGACUGAGAGGUUAACCCCCCCACACUGGUACUGAGACACGGACCAGACUCCUACGGGAGGCAGCAGUGAGGAAUAUUGGUCAAUGGACGCAAGUCUGAACCAGCCAUGCCGCGUGCAGGAAGACGGCUCUAUGAGUUGUAAACUGCUUUUGUACGAGGGUAAACUCACCUACGUGUAGGUGACUGAAAGUAUCGUACGAAUAAGGAUCGGCUAACUCCGUGCCAGCAGCCGCGGUAAUACGGAGGAUUCAAGCGUUAUCCGGAUUUAUUGGGUUUAAAGGGUGCGUAGGCGGUUUGAUAAGUUAGAGGUGAAAUCCCGGGGCUUAACUCCGGAACUGCCUCUAAUACUGUUAGACUAGAGAGUAGUUGCGGUAGGCGGAAUGUAUGGUGUAGCGGUGAAAUGCUUAGAGAUCAUACAGAACACCGAUUGCGAAGGCAGCUUACCAAACUAUAUCUGACGUUGAGGCACGAAAGCGUGGGGAGCAAACAGGAUUAGAUACCCUGGUAGUCCACGCAGUAAACGAUGAUAACUCGUUGUCGGCGAUACACAGUCGGUGACUAAGCGAAAGCGAUAAGUUAUCCACCUGGGGAGUACGUUCGCAAGAAUGAAACUCAAAGGAAUUGACGGGGGCCCGCACAAGCGGAGGAACAUGUGGUUUAAUUCGAUGAUACGCGAGGAACCUUACCCGGGCUUGAAAGUUACUGACGAUUCUGGAAACAGGAUUUCCCUUUGGGGCAGGAAACUAGGUGCUGCAUGGUUGUCGUCAGCUCGUGCCGUGAGGUGUCGGGUUAAGUCCCAUAACGAGCGCAACCCCUACCGUUAGUUGCCAUCAGGUCAAGCUGGGCACUCUGGCGGGACUGCCGGUGUAAGCCGAGAGGAAGGUGGGGAUGACGUCAAAUCAGCACGGCCCUUACGUCCGGGGCUACACACGUGUUACAAUGGUAGGUACAGAGGGUCGCUACUCCGUGAGGAGAUGCCAAUCUCGAAAGCCUAUCUCAGUUCGGAUUGGAGGCUGAAACCCGCCUCCAUGAAGUUGGAUUCGCUAGUAAUCGCGCAUCAGCCAUGGCGCGGUGAAUACGUUCCCGGGCCUUGUACACACCGCCCGUCAAGCCAUGGAAGCUGGGGGUGCCUGAAGUUCGUGACCGCAAGGAGCGACCUAGGGCAAAACCGGUAACUGGGGCU